rnacentral:rRNA from 1 species
UGAACAGCACUUUUGUGCUUCACGCUAUUUCCAAGUGCCAACACACACGGGAAUUCGAGAACUAAGUGAAAAGGUAAAUCUAGUGGCGGACGGGUGAGUAACGCGUGAACAAUCUGCCCUGUACAAAGGAAUAGCCUCGGGAAACCGGGAUUAAAACCAUAUGACACUUUAGUACCGCAUGGUACAGAAGUCAAAUUGAAUAAGAGGUAUGGGAUGAGUUCGCGUCUGAUUAGCUAGUUGGUAAGGUAACGGCUUACCAAGGCGACGAUCAGUAGCCGGCCUGAGAGGGUGAACGGCCACACUGGAACUGAGACACGGUCCAGACUCCUACGGGAGGCAGCAGUGGGGAAUAUUGCACAAUGGAGGGAACUCUGAUGCAGCGACGCCGCGUGAGUGAAGAAGGUCUUCGGAUCGUAAAACUCUGUCCUUGGUGAAGAAAAAAAUGACGGUAGCCAAGGAGGAAGCCCCGGCUAACUACGUGCCAGCAGCCGCGGUAAUACGUAGGGGGCGAGCGUUGUCCGGAUUUACUGGGCGUAAAGGGUGAGUAGGCGGUUGUAUAUGUCAGGUGUAAAAGGCUAUGGCUUAACCAUGGUUAGCACUUGAAACUGUAUGACUUGAGUGCAGGAGAGGUAAGCGGAAUUCCUAGUGUAGCGGUGAAAUGCGUAGAUAUUAGGAGGAACACCAGUGGCGAAGGCGGCUUACUGGACUGUAACUGACGCUGAGUCACGAAAGCGUGGGUAGCAAACAGGAUUAGAUACCCUGGUAGUCCACGCUGUAAACGAUGAGUGCUAGGUGUUGGGUAGCGAUACUCAGUGCCGGAGUCAACACAAUAAGCACUCCGCCUGGGGAGUACGUACGCAAGUAUGAAACUCAAAGGAAUUGACGGGGACCCGCACAAGCAGCGGAGCAUGUGGUUUAAUUCGAAGCAACGCGAAGAACCUUACCAAGGCUUGACAUCCCCUUGACAGGUGCAGAGAUGUGUCCUCUCCUUCGGGAGCAAGGGAGACAGGUGGUGCAUGGUUGUCGUCAGCUCGUGUCGUGAGAUGUUGGGU